UACGUAGGUGGCAAGCGUUGUCCGGAUUUAUUGGGUUUAAAGGGUGCGUAGGCGGCUUUGUAAGUCAGUGGUGAAAUACGGUAGCUCAACUAUCGAGGUGCCAUUGAUACUGCGGAGCUUGAGUACAGAUGAGGUAGGCGGAAUUGACGGUGUAGCGGUGAAAUGCCUAGAUAUCGUCAAGAACACCUAUAGCGAAGGCAGCUUACUAGGCUGUAACUGACGCUGAGGCACGAAAGUGUGGGGAUCAAACAGG
rnacentral:rRNA from 1 species